rnacentral:rRNA from 1 species
CCUACGGGUGGCAGCAGUGAGGAAUAUUGGUCAAUGGACGAGAGUCUGAACCAGCCAAGUAGCGUGAAGGAUGACUGCCCUAUGGGUUGUAAACUUCUUUUAUAUGGGAAUAAAACGUUCCACGUGUGGGUUUUUGUAUGUACCAUAUGAAUAAGGAUCGGCUAACUCCGUGCCAGCAGCCGCGGUAAUACGGAGGAUGCGAGCGUUAUCCGGAUUUAUUGGGUUUACAGGGAGCGUAGGUGGUUUGUUAAGUCAGUUGUGAAAGUUUGCGGCUCAACCGUAAAAUUGCAGUUGAAACUGGCAGGCGUGAGUACAGUUGAGGUGGGCGGAAUGCGUGGUGUAGCGGUGAAAUGCUUAGAUAUCACGAAGAACUCCGAUUGCGAAGGCAGCUCACUGGACUGCAACUGACACUGAGGCUCGAAAGUGUGGGUAUCAAACAGGAUUAGAUACCCGUGUAGUC